AAACGUUAAAGGCAGUAAAGCAAGUACAAAACUCGAAAACUUCUCAAAUAAGCUAUUUCUUUUUUGUUUUUAUUUUACUAUUUUGAUUGGCUAUUUAAUAAAAUUCAGGGUUUCAUUAAUAGGAAACUCUAAACUUCACAUUUCUUCUUUACAUCAUCUUCUUCCCGCCGCUGACUCUUCGUCUGCUACUUUUGAAAGCGAAAAUUUUAGCCGCCGUCCAUCUAUUUUUCUUGCGUCUGUCACGUCUCCAUUUUUAGACACCCAUGUCAUGACCGUGUUGGGACCGUGUCCGACCUCUUUUUUUAUGUAUUCCGGCUUGUCCAGUAUGUAUCCGGGCAUGUCCGACGAGUGUCCGUGUUGGACACACGUACAAUAUUGGUACGAGGAGGAAUGAGCCGUGUCCGUGCUUCCUAGUUUAUAAACAAAUUUCCUUGGUUUUUUUGCCUUGGGUAGUUCUCUGGCGAAUGGUGUGACCAACGGAGUGCUUAAGAAUACAUAAAGCCUGGUGAAUGCAAAUGGUUCAGCAGUUAAUGCUCGUCUUUGUCUACUAUUUUGAAGAAAACCUGAAGAUGACGUCCGACUGCGAAUCUAGCUUGGUCUCUGCUAUUGCUCUAACAGUAAAGUAUCCCAUAAUACGGACUUCAAGGAAUUAACUUGAACUGCUUCAGAACGAAAGUCUUGUCUCUUUUGGUGCAGAAGGCAGUCACUUUUUUGCUUCAAAACUACAUUAGAGCUGAGGAGAGCAUACGAUACCAUGCCCUUCCCUUUUAUCCAGGCAAUGUAAGCAGUUGGAAUAGCUUGCUGCAAAUGCACUAGAGAAGAUUGCACAGGUGUUUUGAGUCUUCUGGGGUCGUGUGACAGCAUGCUUUGAGAAGGCCUCUAGCCAUUGUUGUGUUAGACCAUUUGAUAAAUGUAAUGCUCGCAAUGGUGAGACAUCUGCACAUUCAAAGACCUUGUUCCUGUAUAUCCAACUACUCCAGAGUGGCAAUAAGAUUAAUUCGGAGAUGAUCUUGCAGACUCUUGUACUAAAAGAUCUGCAAAAGCAAAUCAUACAUGUUUGUAGCAGCCUUUCAAUAAUUGAGCCUGACUGUGAACUUUUUUGUUUUUUUGGAUAAGUAAAAUUUCAUUCAUCCAAAGAAUGUAAAAUGUUGCUACAAGUAACACUAAACAGAAACUACAGCUUAGCAGCUACAGAAAACAAUCAAUCACCCAACCCUCAAGCUGUGUGAACAAACCCUGAAUGUGCCUUGCAGUGUAAGCAGAUAAUGUAAAACAAAGCAGUCCACGCAAGCCGAAGAAUAGAGUAAAAACAGGAACAGGAAUCGCUCUAGAAUAAAGACGUUUUGCAAAUCAGCUCAACGCUAUAUUAUCUGAUUGAUUGAACGGCUAUCAUCUCACUAAAAAGGAUUAAGAGAUAAGAGUCGGCACAUCAUCCAAAUCCAGUGUUCACCAACAAGCAUGCAACCUUUAAGAGAUUCCUUAAUUACAACCAGUCAUAACUGAAAAAAAUGGCAAACGUCAACAAUAGAAGUUCCAGAAUUCCAAGAUCAAUCAUUUUAUCCCUAAAUUAAGUACUACAUUAGAGCACAAAAUAGAGGUUCUAUGUCAUGUAGUUGGCUCGGUUAACAUGCAUUGGGAGGAGUAACAAUUACAACAUCAAAAUUCAAAAUUUUGAAAAUUCAAACCUGAAGUUGUUAGGCUCCUGCUUCAGGAGACUUGGUCUGCCGCUGCAACUCUUCACCAGCAUUUCUCAGGAAUUGGUCCCAACCACUCCCUGCACUAACAUCCAAGUAAUCAUAUGGAACUGCUGUCUUCAAACCUGGCUGAACAGCGCAUCGGCUCUCUACAAUUCUGAAGUCCAAAUCAUCUCCUUCCCUGGGUUUCUGCUCCAAUUCCUCCCAGGUGAACAGCAAAGGCAAUGUAAAAGCACCCCAAGGAUUGAAAUCCAACACCUUUACACGUUCAUCCUGUGUAACAUAAACAUCAAAUGUGUAAUCAUUGGAUUCAAAUUUCAGCCUCACAAUGCCAUUAAAGAAUUCUUCAAUCAACACUUCAAGAUCAUUUUUCUUCUCACAAAGAACUGGAUAAAAUGUAGUGACCUCCCGCUGUGAAAUUCCAACAAGCUUCU